CAGUAGCCGCGGUAAAACGUAGGGUGCAAGCGUUAAUCGGAAUUACUGGGCGUAAAGCGUGCGCAGGCGGUUAUAUAAGACAGAUGUGAAAUCCCCGGGCUCAACCUGGGAACUGCAUUUGUGACUGUAUAGCUAGAGUACGGCAGAGGGGGAUGGAAUUCCGCGUGUAGCAGUGAAAUGCGUAGAUAUGCGGAGGAACACCGAUGGCGAAGGCAAUCCCCUGGGCCUGUACUGACGCUCAUGCACGAAAGCGUGGGGAGCAAACAGGAUUAGAUACCCGCGUAGUCCCUGUCUCUUAUAC
rnacentral:rRNA from 1 species